AACCACACAAAAUACACGAUACACAUGCCAAACCAUCACCAUCAUCAUCAUCAUCAUCACACAUGCCAAACCAUCACCAUCAUCAUCAUCACACAUGCCAAAUCAUCACCAUCAUUACCAUCAUCAUCAUCACACAUGCCAAACCAUCACCAUCAUCAUCACCAUCACACACAUGCCAAACCAUCACCAUCAUCAUCAUCAUCAUCACACAUGCCAAACCAUCACCAUCAUCAUCACACAUGCCAAAUCAUCACCAUCAUCACCAUCAUCAUCAUCACACAUGCCAAACCAUCACCAUCAUCAUCAUCAUCACACAUGCCAAACCAUCACCAUCAUCAUCAUCAUCAUCAUCACACACAUGCCAAACCAUCACCACCAUCAUCAUCAUCAUCACACACAUGCCAAACCAUCACCACCAUCAUCAUCAUCAUCACACAUGCCAAACCAUCACCAUCAUCAUCAUCACACAUGCCAAAUCAUCACCAUCAUCACCACCGCCACCAUCAUCAUCGUUGUUAUUGUCAU
rnacentral:lncRNA from 1 species